rnacentral:tRNA from 1 species
AAGAUUAUUAAAUUAGGAUUUCUAAUCUUAAAUUAACUUAGUGUUUAAUCUUU